rnacentral:rRNA from 1 species
GGGCCCGCACAAGCGGUGGAGCAUGUGGUUUAAUUCGAUGCAACGCGAAGAACCUUACCUGCCCUUGACAUCCUCGGAAGGGACCGGAAACGGACCCGUGCCUUCGGGAACCGAGAGACAGGUGCUGCAUGGCUGUCGUCAGCUCGUGUCGAGAGAUGUUGGGUUAAGUCCCGUAACGAGCGCAACCCCUAUCCUUAGUUGCCAGCACGUAAUGGUGGGAACUCUAGGGAGACUGCCGGUGACAAACCGGAGGAAGGUGGGGACGACGUCAAGUCAUCAUGCCCCUUAUGUCCAGGGCUGCACGCAUGCUACAAUGGCAAGUACAACGAGUCGCAAUACCGCGAGGUGGAGCAAAUCUCUUAAAGCUUGUCUCAGUUCGGAUAGGAGUCUGCAACUCGACUCCUUGAAGUUGGAGUCGCUAGUAA